CCACUGCACCACGACGGGAACUCCUCUGCAUUUAUUUUGAGAGUAACUGCAUAAGAAAGCUUGCUUUGAGCAUUCGUGAUCAGCCUCUUUGGUCCUUCAGAUUCCUUCAAAUUCAAUUCAGACAAUUGAUUCAAAAUCAACAAUGAUAGCACAAUGAUGGUAGAGACAAACAGAACUUGAGUUACUUCAAUUCUGUCAUUCUGUGUGACCACAUGGAGUUUUUAUUGUGUUUAAAGUUUCUGGCAUUUAUUGUCAAAUGCGAUUUUUAUGCAUCUCUGCCAAAUGUAUCCUUAUGUUGAAGACUUUUCCUAUUUAUUUAAACUCUUACUUCAGGUGAAAGAGAGCUUCUGAAAUUAAAAUUAAUGAAAAAUGUUCUUUGAUCAAAGAUGGAUCAACACAUCAUGAAUAUGGGAAGAAAAAGGAGUUUGACAGUCAUUGACAAAUGUGCAGAAGUUAAUUGCAAAAACAGAAACUAUAGCAAUUGCUAUUCAUUACUAUAAAAGACCAAUAGAUCUACCACCUCUUCUAAUAGGACCAUGAAUGUGUUCAUCCCCCGGGAAGGGAAGGACUUCUAGGCUGAGGGCAUGGCCAAGGCAGGAGUGGAGAGUGGCGAUGAGCUGGUCCAGAGCCUGAGUGUGCCACAGCUUGAAGUUCUCAGACCAGGGAUUGAACCUGGCAGCAGAGGUGAAAGUGCCAAAUCCAAGCCACCAGACCACCAAGGAACUCCAUUCAGCAUUCUUAUUCUUUUAUUCACUCAGGUCGAAGCCAAAAAUUUAAAUGGAAAUUUCAGUCUGUAAAAUGUUUCCUCAGUUCCUGCUAGUUUGUCCUCAAAGAGUCUCAGAGUUGUCUUAUUUGUACAUUGCAUGACUGGUUGAAAAAAAUUUUUUUAAAUCCUGUCAUCAAAGAUGUUUUUUGGUCUAUACACGAGUUUGGGUUUUUGUUUUGUUUUUAAAGAGAAACCGCCUAGUGUUAUGGAAUUAUGUGGGAUGUUUACUAAGCUAAAAACUGUAGUAAUAUGCCCACAUUUUCUACCCUAAUUCUAACAGUGGAUGGUAAAGGGGCAGAGGACAAAAUAAGUGGGAAGAUUGGAAAGAUCACCCACAAGCAGGACAUGGAGAGGAAUAAACCUGAAGCAAGAACAUUUGCUUCUGUGACUUAUGUUGGUGGUUAGAAAAUGCUGGUAUAAUCUUGUUGGGUAUGUGUUGAAGAAAAAAAUUAUCAUGACUUUUCCACCAAGAAACUAGAAUCAUGAAAGACAAAAUCAAGAGUAAUACUAGCCACUCCUUUUUGAGCACUGGCACUGAGGCAGGCAUUUUGUGAAGUACCUUCAUACAGUUUUACCUUUAAACUCUCAGCAGCUCUGGAUGGAAAGGGUCAUCUCCCUAUUUUGCAGAGUCAGCUCAGAGAAAUAAAAUGACUUCCCCAAGAUCAUGUAACUGAAACAUGAUGAUGUUGACCCACUUGCCUCCAAAGUCUUUGUUCUCAACUGUUACAUCACAUCUCCUCUCUUCAGUAAGAUGAAUUGAUGUGAUAUAAAUAAACAUGGAAGAAAUAGAAAACUUGGAGGUGACAUAAAAAAAAAAAAAAGCCUCAGCAAAAGUAUUGCUCCAUUUAAAGCAUCCAUGGAGGGAGAGUUUGGCAGGUGUAUGGAGGUCCUGAAAGAGCCAUGCCCACAGUCCUGCUUCUCAUCUCAAUGGCAACACCAUCAUCUCCUCCAUUUAAUGCCACAGAGUUAGUGCAAUACCAAUAGAAACGAAAACGCAGUGCCUUGCUCUCAAAGGUUCAGAUUACCAAAAGUUGUAGAGCACAGCCUUGUUCUGUAAUCACUUCCCUAUUGAUAUAAAACUCACAAAUAAGAUGUUUCAUUACAAUAAGACCUGAAGACAAUCAGCUCUUUCCUCAUAGUGGGGGAAUCAAGGGUGGGCACUGAAAGCAAAUAGAAUUUUGGGAGCUGGAAUGGUCAUACUGAAACUGGUUAAGCGGAAGUAUUUGUAUUAAAGUGACCACUUCUGCAUCACA